rnacentral:rRNA from 1 species
UACGAAGGGGGCUAGCGUUGCUCGGAAUUACUGGGCGUAAAGGGCGCGUAGGCGGAUAGUUUAGUCAGAGGUGAAAGCCCAGGGCUCAACCUUGGAAUUGCCUUUGAUACUGGCUAUCUUGAGUUCGGGAGAGGUGAGUGGAAUGCCGAGUGUAGAGGUGAAAUUCGUAGAUAUUCGGCGGAACACCAGUGGCGAAGGCGACUCACUGGCCCGAUACUGACGCUGAGGUGCGAAAGGCGUGGGGAGCAAACAGG